GGAGGAUUCCACAUGCCAGGGAACAAAUGAGCCCGAUGUCACAGCUACUGAAGCCUGAGGGCUCUAGAGCCCGGGCACCUAGGGAGGGUAGCCCCACUCUCCUAGGGAGGGUAGCCCCACUCUCCCGCAACUAGAAAAAGCCUGCCCGCGGCAAGACCAGCGGAACCAAACAAAUGAUUUUCAAAGAGUUGCCAAAGGACACGUUCCGUCUCUUUCUGCAAGCAAAGCAAGUGGGCAGAACACAAGCAGGCCAUAAGAGAGAAGCAGGUCCUGGGCGUCAAAAUCUCAAUGAAUUCCCAAAGGCAAAGAAAACCAAACUGUUGCGCAACUGUGUAGGGUGAAAAGUACAUAGCCAUCGCUAACUCCUGAAGCAAACCCAUUCCAGGAAAUCUCUAGACUAGGAUGCUUUCUGCUCUAGUCGAUUCACAUAAUCAACAAGACUUGCCGACUGUUGGUGUCACCCAGGCUAUAAAAAGGAUGAAUGACAGGGCAUGGAGUUUGUCACCUUCCAUAUAAACUUGGAUUUGUUUUGUAGCAACGAGGAGUCAAGUCCAGCUCAGCAAAAUAUGCUGCGUUUUUAAUACGAAGAGCUGACUGGUUGCUGUUCCCGCCUUGUCUUAAGAGCCAACACAAAAAAGGAAGAGGAGAGAGAAGUUAUAUUUGUAACUUUUGAUUAGUGAAUUGGGGAAGAAAGCCUGACACUGAAGGGCCAUGAGUGUCUGGGACCUUCACAUGUACAGUGGUGGUCCCUAUGGGUUGGAGAUAAAGCUUUUGUAAAACUUGUCUGAGUAUAUUACAAAUGUUACAGAAAUGUGAAGGCCAACAAUAUUUACUGGUGUUCUUCGUGCAACUUUUUUUUAAAAAAUAGGGGUCAAUUGUUUUAAAAGGAAUAUAUUUCAGUAAUUUUGCAUGUAAAGGAAAUUCUUUGAAUUUUGAAUUGUCUCCCUUUGAAACUCUCAACAAGAAAG
rnacentral:lncRNA from 1 species